AUUUAAGUAGUUUAAAGAUUAAAAUAAUAAUUUGUGGGAUUAUAGUUAUAUAAGAAUUAAAAUAUAUCUUAAAUU
rnacentral:tRNA from 1 species